rnacentral:rRNA from 1 species
UACAGAGGGGCAAGCGUUGUUCGGAAUUACUGGGCGUAAAGGGCGCGUAGGCGGCCUUCUAAGUCAGACGUGAAAUCCCUCGGCUCAACCGGGGAACUGCGUCUGAGACUGGAAGGCUUGAAUCCGGGAGAGGGAUGGUGGAAUUCCAGGUGUAGCGGUGAAAUGCGUAGAUAUCUGGAGGAACACCGGUGGCGAAGGCGGCAUCCUGGACCGGUAUUGACGCUGAG